UGAUCCGGCUGGGGGACAAUGUCAGGUGGGGAGUUUGACUGGGGCGGUCGCCUCCGAAAGGGUAUCGGAGGCGCUCAAAGGUCCUCUCAGAAUGGUCGGAAACCAUUCGCAGAGUGCAAAGGCAUAAGAGGGCUUGACUGCGACACCGACGGGUGGAGCAGGUACGAAAGUAGGACUUAGUGAUCCGGUGGUAUAAAGUGGGAUUGCCAUCGCUCAACGGAUAAAAGCUACCCUGGGGAUAACAGGCUUAUCACUCCCAAGAGUUCACAUCGACGGAGUGGUUUGGCACCUCGAUGUCGGCUCAUCGCAUCCUGGGGCUGAAGUAGGUCCCAAGGGUUGGGCUGUUCGCCCAUUAAAGCGGUACGCGAGCUGGGUUCAGAACGUCGUGAGACAGUUCGGUCCCUAUCCGGCGUGGGCGUAGGAUAUUUGAGAGGAGCUGACCUUAGUACGAGAGGACCGGGUUGGACUGGCCGCUGGUGUAUCUGUUGUUCUACCAAGAGCAUAGCAGAGUAGCCAAGCCGGGAAGGGAUAAACGCUGAAGGCAUCUAAGCGUGAAGCCCCCCUCAAGAUGAGAUAUCCCAUAACGUCAAGUUAGUAAGACCCCUUGAAGACGACAAGGUAGAUAGGACAGAGGUGGAAGUGCAGUAAUGUAUGGAGCUGACUGUUACUAAUAGGUCGAGGGCAUAACCAA
rfam:Hespellia stercorisuis DSM 15480 genome assembly, contig: EJ65DRAFT_NODE_4_len_648_cov_68_708336.160